AUACGGAGGAUGCGAGCGUUAUCCGGAUUUAUUGGGUUUAAAGGGUGCGUAGGCGGGUUGCCAAGUCAGGGGUGAAAUCCCGGAGCCUAACUCCGGAACUGCCUUUGAUACUGGCAGUCUUGAAUUCGGAUGCCGUGGGAGGAAUGAGUAGUGUAGCGGUGAAAUGCAUAGAUAUUACGCAGAACACCGAUUGCGAAGGCAUCUCACGAAGCCGACAGUGACUCUGAGGCACGAAAGCGUGGGGAUCAAAGAGGAUUAGAUACCCUGGUAGUCCACGCAGUAAACGAGGAUUACUAAGCGUCGGCGAUAGACAGUCGGUGGCCAAGCGAAAGCGAUAAGUCAACCACCUGGGGAGUGCGACGGCAAGGUUGAAACUCAAAGGAAUUGACGGGG
rnacentral:rRNA from 1 species